CCUUCUUAAAGAUCAUGUAAGGCUUGGAGGGUUUGCAGGUGUCUAACAUUGAGUUCUGUUUUUGAAUUCAUAAAUCGUCAGGUUUAAGUCUUCGUGUAUGCAUCUAUGUGUGUGUGCCUGUAUAUACUAUAUAUAAAUACAUACUCAGACGCCCAUAUACAUGCAAGCACACAGAUAUACAUACAUACAUACAUACGUACAUACAUACAUACAUACAUACAUACAUACACACAUACGUACAUACAUACAUACAUACGUACGUACAUACAUACAUACAUAUAUACAUACAUACAUACGUACAUACAUGCAUACAUACAUACAUACGUAAAUACAUAUAUAAUACAUACGUAUGUACAAAUACUUACAUACACACAUAUACAUAACAGGUUAGUUGGGACACGACGAUCCCGGUUCUUACGUCGGAAGCACUUCUACGGUCAGUAGUUACAUAUAAAUUGGGAGAAAUUCCCUAAUAAAACUGCUGCGGCAAUUACCUGAAGAUCCACAAAUUAUUUAUUUGUUAUGGGUAGAAAGAUAGAUAAAUAUCACUACAUACAUACAUACACACGACUGCGCGCACACACACAUAUAUAAGUUGUUUGUACAUCUACCUGUUAAUCUUUCUGUUUGUAUGUAUGUAUGUAUGUAUGCAUGUAUGUAGAUCUUAGCUCUUAGAUCUUCCAGUGUUGUCUGCACAACGGGCAACGAGCCUUCUCCAAAGAUCUCGAUUACUCGCAUUCCUCCUGGUUCCAAUCAAGCCACCUCCCACCACUGUCAUAUCGUUUCAUAUCGUACUGCGCCAGUUCAUCAUUGGUCGUCUUCCUCUCAGUUUUAUUCUUUCUUCUUGUUUUCGCACCGUCACGUCGGUAGCAAGUCUCUCUUGCAGUAAUAGAAGCACAUGCCCAGUAAAACGAAUCAGCCGCUUAGUCACCAUGUCCUGCAAGCUCCCCAUGCCUGCUUUUCUCAUUACCUCUUUGUUUCUCACUCUGUCCUAGUGAGAGGUGCCGAAAAUUGAACGUGGGUAGCGUCGAUGGAACACGUCCAGCAAUUGAGAGAUCUUCACUGUCUGUCUUUCUCCAGGUUUCGCAGGUGUAGGUGGCUGAUGGUAUAACUUGAUGAGUAUAGCUGCAGCUUUAUCAUCUUACCAACGGUUUGCGAGUCUACGUAUUGGACAAAUGCGUUGGAAUACUGCCAUUGUUUUACCUAUCCUGAUUUUGACUUCAAUUUCUGCACACCCUCGUUGGAAAUACAGCUUCCGAGAUAUCUAUACUUAUCAACGUCCGAUUUCAUUUUGUCCGAGAUUGACAGCUUAUGCUUCAGCCAGAUCUUCAACGCCAAAACCAUCACUGCAAUUUCAAUAUGGAAUGUGUGGACAUUAUACCAAAGCAGAAAACUUAGUCAAGGGAUUCGGAAAUGCAGAAUGACUAUCUAGAUAUUCUAGGUAUUUGGGAAAUGCAUUGGACAAGUGAUGAUCGCAUAAUAUCAGACGGAUUUACCAUCCUUUAUUCUGGCACGGAGCACCAACAUAUGUAUGAGGUUUGGAUUAUUAUAUUGGACAAGUAGGUGACUGCAACAUUGGUUGGCUGGAAGCCAAUAAAUGAGAGGGUUAUAACAGCGCGUUUCCAAACCAGACGUGAAAGUUGCCGUAAUUCAAGUCUAUGCACCAGCUGAUACUGAAACUGAAGGAGACGAUAAGCAAGGAUUUCAAGAUGAAAAGAUACGCAAUUCAAAGAAAGGAACAGAACGUACACGUUUUAAAUUUUGGCACAAGUUCAGCAAUUGUAGUGUAGUGGGUAGUCGAUUACAUCGACUCUAGUACUUAACUAGUAUUUAUUUUGUCGACCCAAGAAGGAUGAAAGGCAAAUUCGAACCUCGGCGAAAUUGGAGACCAGAACGUACGGAUUCAGAAAAAAAAGUACCUGUAGGAGUUUUUGAUUCUUGAAAUUAUUUCAUCUUUUCAUUUAAAGUUAGCACCAAAUGGCACCAAGAAAUACUUUUAUCUUCUUCAGGAGCAGUGAUAGUUGCAGUGAAUUAAGAAUUUAUCUUGCAUAAUAUUUAAUAUAGUCCCAUUCGUUUUUGCUGUUCAAAAUAGAUGUUACUAGUCUCUCUGACGGAUUUCACUUAACUCAUCUAAUAUCUCAUAAUUCAUUGUUCGUCAACGUUUUAAACUCAAAGAUUUUAAAAUGACUGGGUUUAAUUCUAUCCUUUUUAAAUUCAAGGGAAUAGUUUAUACCGUCUAACAUAUAAAUCAGCUUGCAUAUAUACAUACACAAAUUUUUUCUGUAAAGAGCGGGUAGCUUCCCUACAUCAUCAGAUUGUCAUGCAGCUCGAGCUCUGUUUUUCCCUUCUAUCCACUUCUUCAGACCAUAUUGAGUGUGUAGUAACAGAAAACAAAAACAAGGUAAAUAAACGCCAGGUGUGAGGGCGUUUUUUGUUGGCACUCCGUCGCUUACGACGACGAGGGUUCCAGUUAAUCCGAUCAAUGGAACAGCCUGCUCGUGAAAUUAACGUGCAAGUGGCUGAGCACUCCACAGACACGUGUACUCUUAACGUAGUUCUCGGGGAUAUUCAACGUGACACAAGGCUGACCCUUUGAAUUACAGGCACAACAGGAAGAAAGAGUGAGAGAAAGUUGUGGUGAAAGAGUACAGCAGGGUUCGCCACCAUCCCCUGCCAGAGCCUCGUGGAGCUUUAAGUGUUUUCACUCAAUAAACAUUCACAACGCCCGGUCUGGGAAUCGAAACCGCGAUCCUAUGACCGUGAGUCCACUGCCCUAACCACUGGGCCAUUGCACCUCCACUGUGAGGGCGUAUACACUGUUCAACGAAGUUAGUUAAGUUCGUUAUUUUUCUCUUAUAGUUGUGUUUCAUCGAUAGAUAUUUUCAGCAACAAUGAAAUCAAAAACGAGUACUGAAAACAAGUCCUCUCGUCCACAAAAUUUAUUAUUUCUACUAUAGGCAUAAAGCGUGGAAUUCUGGGAUAGGAGUUUAAUCGACUACAUCGACCCUACUACUGAACUGGUACUUAUUUUAUCGACCCUGAAGUAAGGAUAGGCAAAGCUGAAUUUAAGCCCAGAACAUAAAGUUGGAAGAAAUACCUCUUAUUUUGUCCAGCGUGUUGAUAGUUCUGUUAGCUCGCUUCCUUAAUAAGUAUUGACUCCAAACUUUGGGACAGGCCAGCAAUUUCGUGGAAGGUUGUGAGUCCAUUACGUCGACCCAGUGUUCAACUGGUACUUAUUUUAGCGACCCCGAAAUAAUGAAGAGCAAAGUUGACCUCCACGGAAUUUGAACUCAGAACAAAAAGACGAACGAAAUGCCGCUAAACAUUUUGUCCGGUGCAGUAACGAUUCUACCACAUCGUCGCUUUAAUAUUAAUACUUUCUACUAAAGGCACAAGGCCUGAAAUUUCAGGGGUGAGGAGGGGACUAGUCAAUUACAUCGAUCCCCAGUGUUGCACUGGUACUUAAUUUAUCGAUCCCGAAAUGAUGAAGGGCAAAGUCGACCACGGCGGAAUUUGAACUCAGAAAAAAAAAAACGAAAUGCCGCUAAGCAUUUUGCCUGGCGCAGUAACGAUUUUACCAGAUCGUCGCUUUAAUAAUGAUAUAUAUUAAAUCUUAGUUUUAUUGCCAUUUUCGUUUUUGUUCUCUUAUCUUUUCAAAUAAAAAUAUCGUAAUAGCUCGA